rnacentral:rRNA from 1 species
UUAAGCGACUAAGCGUACACGGUGGAUGCCCUGGCAGUCAGAGGCGAUGAAGGACGUGCUAAUCUGCGAUAAGCGUCGGUAAGGUGAUAUGAACCGUUAUAACCGGCGAUUUCCGAAUGGGGAAACCCAGUGUGAUUCGUCACACUAUCAUUAACUGAAUCCAUAGGUUAAUGAGGCGAACCGGGGGAACUGAAACAUCUAAGUACCCCGAGGAAAAGAAAUCAACCGAGAUUCCCCCAGUAGCGGCGAGCGAACGGGGAGCAGCCCAGAGCCUGAAUCAGUGUGUGUGUUAGUGGAAGCGUCUGGAAAGGCGCGCGAUACAGGGUGACAGCCCCGUACACAAAAAUGCACAUACUGUGAGCUCGAUGAGUAGGGCGGGACACGUGGUAUCCUGUCUGAAUAUGGGGGGACCAUCCUCCAAGGCUAAAUACUCCUGACUGACCGAUAGUGAACCAGUACCGUGAGGGAAAGGCGAAAAGAACCCCGGCGAGGGGAGUGAAAAAGAACCUGAAACCGUGUACGUACAAGCAGUGGGAGCCUUGAUUUAUCAGGGUGACUGCGUACCUUUUGUAUAAUGGGUCAGCGACUUAUAUUCUGUAGCAAGGUUAACCGAAUAGGGGAGCCGAAGGGAAACCGAGUCUUAACUGGGCGUUAAGUUGCAGGGUAUAGACCCGAAACCCGGUGAUCUAGCCAUGGGCAGGUUGAAGGUUGGGUAACACUAACUGGAGGACCGAACCGACUAAUGUUGAAAAAUUAGCGGAUGACUUGUGGCUGGGGGUGAAAGGCCAAUCAAACCGGGAGAUAGCUGGUUCUCCCCGAAAGCUAUUUAGGUAGCGCCUCGUGAAUUCAUCUCCGGGGGUAGAGCACUGUUUCGGCAAGGGGGUCAUCCCGACUUACCAACCCGAUGCAAACUGCGAAUACCGGAGAAUGUUAUCACGGGAGACACACGGCGGGUGCUAACGUCCGUCGUGAAGAGGGAAACAACCCAGACCGCCAGCUAAGGUCCCAAAGUCAUGGUUAAGUGGGAAACGAUGUGGGAAGGCCCAGACAGCCAGGAUGUUGGCUUAGAAGCAGCCAUCAUUUAAAGAAAGCGUAAUAGCUCACUGGUCGAGUCGGCCUGCGCGGAAGAUGUAACGGGGCUAAACCAUGCACCGAAGCUGCGGCAGCGACACUAUGUGUUGUUGGGUAGGGGAGCGUUCUGUAAGCCUGUGAAGGUGUGCUGUGAGGCAUGCUGGAGGUAUCAGAAGUGCGAAUGCUGACAUAAGUAACGAUAAAGCGGGUGAAAAGCCCGCUCGCCGGAAGACCAAGGGUUCCUGUCCAACGUUAAUCGGGGCAGGGUGAGUCGACCCCUAAGGCGAGGCCGAAAGGCGUAGUCGAUGGGAAACAGGUUAAUAUUCCUGUACUUGGUGUUACUGCGAAGGGGGGACGGAGAAGGCUAUGUUGGCCGGGCGACGGUUGUCCCGGUUUAAGCGUGUAGGCUGGUUUUCCAGGCAAAUCCGGAAAAUCAAGGCUGAGGCGUGAUGACGAGGCACUACGGUGCUGAAGCAACAAAUGCCCUGCUUCCAGGAAAAGCCUCUAAGCAUCAGGUAACAUCAAAUCGUACCCCAAACCGACACAGGUGGUCAGGUAGAGAAUACCAAGGCGCUUGAGAGAACUCGGGUGAAGGAACUAGGCAAAAUGGUGCCGUAACUUCGGGAGAAGGCACGCUGAUAUGUAGGUGAAGCGACUUGCUCGUGGAGCUGAAAUCAGUCGAAGAUACCAGCUGGCUGCAACUGUUUAUUAAAAACACAGCACUGUGCAAACACGAAAGUGGACGUAUACGGUGUGACGCCUGCCCGGUGCCGGAAGGUUAAUUGAUGGGGUCAGCCGCAAGGCGAAGCUCUUGAUCGAAGCCCCGGUAAACGGCGGCCGUAACUAUAACGGUCCUAAGGUAGCGAAAUUCCUUGUCGGGU